AUGAAUUUACACAAAAGGGCUUUGAUGCCAGAGUAAAACAUUUAUUGUGUGGAGAAGACGCACACAGUGAAGGAAGUCAAGGAACAUUGGAGACAAAAGAAAAAAAUGAGAAGGCAUUUAUGGAUGCAGCACAAGUAUUUACCAAGGCAAAACAUUUUAUAAAACCCCAGCUGAAAAAAUGUUAGUUUCCCCUUCGUCGGAAAGAAAAGUCCCUGUUAAAGAUAAAAAUGAGUCCCAUGGAGUGGAAACCACGAACAUCCAAAAAACCAGGCAGAUAUCAAAAAGUCAUUCUUGAAGAAGCCCCCCCAAGGAUCCUAGUGGCAGGCACAGAAGAUUAUGAUGGACUGAUACGUAUUGCAGGAUGCAUUUUGGACAGAAAUGGAAAGAGAGGGAAGUGCAUUCACUCUUUGCCUUUCAGAUGGCACAAGGUGGACAAAGGAGCAGUUUUGCCAAGGAUAUGGAUCUGUCUCUGAGAUUCCAACUCCCUGGAAGAGA